rnacentral:rRNA from 1 species
UACGGAGGAUGCAAGCGUUAUCCGGAAUGAUUGGGCGUAAAGCGUCCGCAGGUGGCUAUGUAAGUCUGCUGUUAAAGAGUGAGGCUCAACCUCAUAAAAGCAGUGGAAACUACAUGGCUAGAGUGCGUUCGGGGCAGAGGGAAUUCCUGGUGUAGCGGUGAAAUGCGUAGAGAUCAGGAAGAACACCGGUGGCGAAAGCGCUCUGCUGGACUGCAACUGACACUCAGGGACGAAAGCUCGGGGAGCGAAUGGG